rnacentral:snRNA from 1 species
CAUUCAUCUAAGGCAUAGA